GAUGAACGCUGUCUACAGGCUUAACACAUGCAAGUCGAGGGGAAACGCCGGGGAAGCUUGCUUCCCCGGGCGUCGACCGGCGCACGGGUGAGUAACGCGUAUCCAACCUGCCUCUGACUGAGGGAUAACCCGUCGAAAGUCGGCCUAAUACCUCAUGGCAUCGUCUGCGGGCAUCCAACGACGAUUAAAGAUUUCAUCGGUCAGGGAUGGGGAUGCGUCUGAUUAGCUUGUUGGCGGGGUAACGGCCCACCAAGGCUACGAUCAGUAGGGGUUCUGAGAGGAAGGUCCCCCACAUUGGAACGGAGACACGGUCCAAACGCCUACGGGAGGCAGCAGUGAGGAAUAUUGGUCAAUGGGCGGGAGCCUGAACCAGCCAAGUAGAGUGCAGGAUGACGGCCCUAUGGGUUGUAAACUGCUUUUAUGCGGGGAUAAAGUGAGGGACGUGUCCUUCAUUGCAGGUACCGCAUGAAUAAGGACCGGCUAAUUCCGUG
rnacentral:rRNA from 1 species